AUGACCAAUGCCCCUUCGUGGUCUUUUUGCUUUGUCACGUAUCUGCUCCCUCUCGCCUUCACCUGCGACAGCGGCAAGUCCAAAAAAGUGAUCGCGGAGGACUUCUCCAACGUGAUCCUUCCCCGCAUGAACAACAUCCUGGAGAACUUCUCUAGACAGCAAGCGAACAAGACUUGCAAGAUCAGACCAACCACACCAGGGCACCGCCGGAAUGAGGAAUUGCAACAAAUCCACAAAGUUCUGUGCAGGCGUUUGCUGAAUGGAGCUUUUGGCAAUCUGAGUUCAGAGAUUCAUAAGCUUUCAGAGGAAAUAAAGGGCACCCUCGGAUGUCAAUGUUCCACAAAGAAGAACAAACAUGAUAAAGAGAAGACCAGGAGGAGAUUUUGCAGAGUCAGACGAUGGCUAGAGGAAAUCAAAAGCCACUUCCAGGUGUUGAUCUUCACGUGAUGAAGUUAACAUUUUAAGUGUUGGGGUGGUUCUGCAAUAGGGGUUCUUCAUUUUGAACAGGAGACUAUAAGAAAAGGUGCUGGUCCAGCAUCCCCAAAAUGAGUUGCUCAGAGGUAAAUUUGACACCGUCUAACCACUGCUUCAAACCGCCGAGACGUUCGGAGCCCCAAGAUUGUUGUUAUGCAAUUCAAUCCAGGAACACUAGAGCUGUUAUUGUGCUUCCUUGUAAAAUUACUCAUGACUCAGCCAUCUUGGGCCUUACAGGCCUUUCAGUUGUGGGUGUUUGCCGUAACACCUCGGGCGGCUUUAGCUACGCUGCAGCAUUGUAACUUUUUUCAUUUAUGUUACUACUAUAGCGUCAUGUGUGAGAAAAUUAUGCAUAACUUAAAAUAUUAGCACUACUGGGCAUUUACUGUUGUUUCUUAAUAUGUUUAAUUGGAACACAUGUUAAAUAUGGGUAGAUCUUUGUAUUCAAAAACUAAAUCUUUUAACUUGUGCAAGCUUUAAAGUACAGUAUUUUCGAAAUAAUAAAACAUAACAUGUGCCUAC
rnacentral:lncRNA from 1 species